UUACAAAAUAGAAACUACAGCUGGAUUGUAGCAUAUCUAUCCAACAUUACAAAAUAGAAAUAAGAAGCCACAAAGUGAAACCCAAAAUUUCUCAUAGUAUCUGGAAUAUCUUUAACAGAAUAUUCCCCACUCAAAUCUCCUCUAGAUCUUCUAGAAUAUCCUCCAACUCUCCUCCCUAUGAUCCGCAUCACAAAACCUGCUUAAUUUGUUGUG